rnacentral:misc_RNA from 1 species
GGAUCAGUAUGUUGGUCGUGCUUCGGUACGUACUGUCAUUACUGGUUUCUCCCUUCUGAAGAACCUUGAUGUCACUAAUUUGGUGUCUUGGGGAAUCAGGACUGUUACUUUGAAAAAAUUAGAGUGUUUAAAGCAGGCAUACGCUUGAAUACAUUAGCAUGGAAUAAUGAAAUAGGACGUUCGAUCCUAUUUUGUUGGUUUCUAGGAUUGACGUA